rnacentral:tRNA from 1 species
UUCAAGAUGGCCGAGCGGGCUAAGGCGCUGCGCUCAUGGUCGCAGUCUUCCCUGGAGGCGUGGGUUCGAAUCCCAUUUCUGACA